rnacentral:rRNA from 1 species
CAGUAGCCGCGGGAAUACAGAGGAUGCAAGCGUUAUCCGGAAUGAUUGGGCGUAGAGCGUCUGUAGGUGGCUUUUCAAGUCCGCCGUCAAAUCCCAGGGCUCAACCCUGGACAGGCGGUGGAAACUACCAAGCUGGAGUACGGUAGGGGCAGGGGGAAUUUCCGGCGGAGCGGUGAAAUGCGUUGAGAUCGGAAAGAACACCAACGGCGAAAGCACUCUGCUGGGCCGACACUGACACUGAGAGACGAAAGCUAGGGGAGCAAAUGGGAUUAGAUACCCGCGUAGUCCCUGUCUCUUAUAC